rnacentral:rRNA from 1 species
UACGAGGGGGGCAAGCGUUGUUCGGAUUUAUUGGGCGUAAAGCGCGUGUAGGCGGCUUUGCAAGUCGGGUGUGAAAGCCCUCAGCUCAACUGAGGAAGUGCGCCCGAAACUGCAGAGCUUGAGUGCCGGAGAGGGUGGCGGAAUUCCCCAAGUAGAGGUGAAAUUCGUAGAUAUGGGGAGGAACACCGGAGGCGAAGGCGGCUUGCUGGGCGUGAUCUGACGCUGAGGAGCGAAAGCAUGGGGAGCGAACAGG